GGAUCGCUAAAGCUCUGUUCANAGGGGAAGAAACUNCCGUGGUGCUAAUAUCGNCAUGGNNCUGACGGUACCCCUNGAAGGAAGCACCGGCUAACUCCGUGCCAGCAGCCGCGGUAAUACGGAGGGUGCAAGCGUUNUUCGGAAUUAUUGGGCGUAAAGGGCGNGUAGGCGGNNNNUUAAGUCUGNUGUGAAAGCCCCGGGCUNAACCCCGGAAGUGCAUUNGAAACUGGGNAACUUGAGUACGGGAGAGGGAAGUGGAAUUUCUNGUGUAGNGGUGAAAUNCGUAGAUAUUCGNAGGAACACCGGUGGCGAAGGCGACUUCCUGGACCGAUACUGACGCUGAGACGCGAAAGCNUGGGGAGCAAACAGGAUUAGAUACCCUGGUAGUCCACGCCGUAAACGAUGNACUACUAGGUGUUGCGGGUAUUGACCCCUGCUGUGCCGAAGCUAACGCAUUAAG
rnacentral:rRNA from 1 species